rnacentral:tRNA from 1 species
GCCCGGGUGGCUCAUUCCGUUAAGCAUCCGACUUCGGCUCGGGUCACGAUCUCACAGUUGGUGGGUUCGAGCCCCACUUCGGGCU